UUUAUUUUUAGAUGUUAUAAUUGCCCACAGCGAAUCACAAUUUUAAUAUCUAAUCUAAUCUAAUCUAAUAUUUGCUCUUGAUUUGCUCCGAUUUAACUAUUGUGUUGUAAAUGGAAUAAUCCACAUUUAUAAAGUGUCCACGCCAUCAUUGAAAAAGUUAAUUUUUAAUCUAAAUUCAAUUUUAUUUGUAACAAUUUUGUAUUAGACUAUUAAUUUGUUCAUGAUAGUUUGUAAAAGAAGUUUGUAUCCCUUGCAUGCUGCGUUACUUACUAAUUUAAUGUAUGUGAUUUUUGUAAUGAAUAUUAAUGUAAGAUAUAUUUCGAACUUUACUUUUAUUUGAAUUUUUUAUUUUAAUAUGAUUAACUCAAAAAAAAUAUUAGUUAUUUGGGGAUCGGGGACCCUCGGGGAUCCCCUGUUAUUAUUCGGGGAGGGGAUGAGGAUUCUCUCAAGUAAUUCUGACGGGGACGGGGACAUACACAAAAUAUCGGGGAUAGGUACGGGGAGAUUGGUCCCCUCCCCUCCCCUCCCCAUUGCCAUCCCUAGAUUUUAUAGUGUAAGAAUGUUUAGAAAAACUUUAAAACUAUGGGAUUUAAUAGAAUUGUGAAAUUAAUCUUUAAAACUACAAUGUUUUAAAGUUUUCUCAAACUUUCAUGCACUUUAAGAUCCUGAAUUUAAAUAUUUUCUUACAUAUAUAUAUAUUGGCUAUAAGAUUUCUUAGAAGGUAUUUCAAAAUGGGCAAAGCCUGUGUCAAUAAUUUUGAUAGGUCCCAGUCAAAGCUGUUGUAUUUUGUAUGUAAAUAGAAUUCUACUUAGGGCGAGAAUCAGCCACAAGAAUUUGUUAUUGAAUUCACUCUUCCCUUUAUUCUGCAUAAUACUUGAGUUUAAAUACAUAAAUGACUAACAGACUCCUCCUAAAAUAAUGUCACAACUACUGAAAAUCAGUAACUGAAUCUAAAUAAAGCCGGCACCUAUUAAAAUAACAAAAUACUUGCUAACAGAACUUGAUUAAGCCUUAACUUGCACGUGACUAAGCUGACCACUCCACUAAAUCCACUAAAUCCUCAACGGCUCCAUGCAUUCUUGACUCAUUCCUUUUAGACAGUGAACUUGCAAUUCUUGAUGGGCACACGUUGAGACUUUCUUGGUUUAUCAAAUUUACAUGAUUGUGAUAGUUAAUAUGCAAUUGGAAGGGAAUAGAGCAAUAUGUAUAAUGGUAAGUAUGCACAUAUAUGUCUUAGACAUAAUACAAAGGGCGGAUCCAAAACUUAACAUUACCUCGGGUUAAAUUCUAAAAUUUAUAUUUUGAAGUAAACAUAAAAAUUUAUAAGUAAAAAGAUCUACAUUAAAUAAGGGAGAGAAGAAGAACUUUAUUGUUUUAAAUAUGUACUAUAAACAAAAAUAAUUGUAAAACAAGAGUAGAAAAUAAAAGGCAAUCCAAAUAUCAAAAUAUUAUUUUUUCAGUUAUAAAAUCUGACAUUGCAACUUAUAAUAAUAUGUAAUUAUAUAAGAUUAAUAAAUCAAUUAAGAAUUUCAACCAAAAUAGGUCAAUACAUGUAAUUACAAUCAAUUAAAAAUCGCAAGUAAAACUUUUAUAUGUGAAGUCAAGUAAUAAAUUACUAGACUUAAAUAAAUUAAACAAUUAGAGUUUAUUCAUCCUUUUAAAUGAUAAAAGUAUUAUUAGUCAAAAGAUUCAAUAAUAAACUAAACUCAAUUUAAUAAAAUGGUAUUUGGGUGCCAUUAUUUUUUCAGCCAAGUGCUUCGACUCUCUUU
rnacentral:lncRNA from 1 species